rnacentral:rRNA from 1 species
UGGGGAAUUUUGGACAAUGGGCGCAAGCCUGAUCCAGCAAUGCCGCGUGCAGGAUGAAGGCCUUCGGGUUGUAAACUGCUUUUGUACGGAACGAAAAAGCUCUCUCUAAUACAGGGGGUGAAUGACGGUACCGUAAGAAUAAGCACCGGCUAACUACGUGCCAGCAGCCGCGGUAAUACGUAGGGUGCAAGCGUUAAUCGGAAUUACUGGGCGUAAAGCGUGCGCAGGCGGUUUUGUAAGACAGAGGUGAAAUCCCCGGGCUCAACCUGGGAACUGCCUUUGUGACUGCAAAGCUGGAGUGCGGCAGAGGGGGAUGGAAUUCCGCGUGUAGCAGUGAAAUGCGUAGAUAUGCGGAGGAACACCGAUGGCGAAGGCAGCCUCCUGGGAUGACACUGACGCUCAUGCACGAAAGCGUGGGG